rnacentral:rRNA from 1 species
AGUGAACGCUGGCGGUAGGCCUAACACAUGCAAGUCGAACGGCAGCACAGUAAGAGCUUGCUCUUACGGGUGGCGAGUGGCGGACGGGUGAGGAAUACAUCGGAGUCUACUUUUUCGUGGGGGAUAACGUAGGGAAACUUACGCUAAUACCGCAUACGACCUACGGGUGAAAGCAGGGGAUCUUCGGACCUUGCGCGAUUGAAUGAGCCGAUGUCGGAUUAGCUAGUUGGCGGGGUAAAGGCCCACCAAGGCGACGACCCGUAGCUGGUCUGAGAGGAUGAUCAGCCACACUGGAACUGAGACACGGUCCAGACUCCGACGGGAGGCAGCAGUGGGGAAUAUUGGACAAUGGGCGCAAGCCUGAUCCAGCCAUACCGCGUGGGUGAAGAAGGCCUUCGGGUUGUAAAGCCCUUUUGUUGGGAAAGAAAAGCAGCAGGUUAAUACCCCGCUGUUCUGACGGUACCCAAAGAAUAAGCACCGGCUAACUUCGU